UGAUAAUGCUGGGAUGUGAUGGGGAGCGAAAUUUAGUAGCGAAGUAGCUGAUUUCACACUGUCAAGAAAAGUCUCUAUCGAGGUUAAAGGUACCCGUACCGCAAACCGACACAGGUGGGUGAGGAGAGUAUCCUAAGGCCCGCGAGAGAACUGUUGUUAAGGAACUCGGCAAAAUGACCCCGUAACUUAGGGAUAAGGUGUGCCACCAUCCGGUGGCCGCAGAGAAUAGGCCCAAGCGACUGUUUACCAAAAACAUAGGUUUCUGCUAAGUCGCAAGACGAUGUAUAGGAGCUGACGCCUGCCCGGUGCUGGAAGGUUAAGGGGAUCUGUUAG
rnacentral:rRNA from 1 species